rnacentral:rRNA from 1 species
AAGGGGAGCAAAUCCCAAAAAUAACGUCCCAGUUCGGAUUGUAGUCUGCAACCCGACUACAUGAAGCUGGAAUCGCUAGUAAUCGCGGAUCAGAAUGCCGCGGUGAAUACGUUCCCGGGUCUUGUACACACCGCCCGUCACACCAUGGGAGUCGGAAAUGCCCGAAGUCUGUGACCUAACCGUAAGGAAGGAGCAGCCGAAGGCAGGUCGGAUGACUGGGGUGAAGUCGUAACAAGGUAUC